GUUGGUCCUUCCAGCUCCUCUCUGCCGUCGAGGGUGGGGGUGAUCUGGCACAGGGGGUGCAGCUCCCCCGUUUAUAUGCAUAAUCUCCAACCGAGUUCUGCUGCAGGAAGGUUCCUGGGACACCAAUCUCGCCUCGAUUUUCAGCUUUGUCUUUACUCUCCUGCCCUCCACCGGAGGGAAGGAGCAUGCACCCUGCAGAGCAGCCACCCCUGGGGCUUCCCAAACUCCUUGGGAUCCACCCUCGCCUCCUAAUCCUGGUCGUAAUCCCGGAAAGCGACAUCCGGUGGCAAGUGCGAGUCCCCGGCAGAAGGUGCAAGGCCAUCGGCGGGAUGCGGACGGGUAUUCGGGCAAGCCCUUCUCUCUCAUUAGAGGGUCAUUAACCCUCUACUUAGUCGGUGGUGGGGGCAGGAGGGGGCUCAGGAAGGAGCGGAGCUGACUGUAUCUCCCCGGUCCUGGCUGCUGCCUCUCCUUGCUAUUCGGCUUCGUGCAGGAUCCGCUGCCGUGUAGCUACAACCCCCCACAGCUGCUUUUUAUUCCUGCAGACAAGGAGGGAGUGUGUUCCCCGCCCCAGAGGACAGAUACAGAUAUACAAGGCAAACUAAAGGUUUCGGCUGCUAUUCAGCGUCUCCUCAUUUGUCCCAGAGCUGUAACAGUGGUGCCCUUUCUCUUCUGGCUGCUUUUCCCUGCUUCUGGAGCAGCAGUUAUGGGAGAAGCAGAUGGCUACUGAUUGGGUGAGCUUUGUGGCUUUAAUACUGAAUACUUUAUGGAAAAGGAUUUUAUCAUGCUUGGUUGACCAGAGGAACAACGGGAUGAGAUUUAUGACUAGAGAAAAUAAAUCUUUUUAAGUUUUAGG